rnacentral:tRNA from 1 species
UGCAGGUGUAGUCCAGAGGUGGAGUGUGCUUAGCAUGUGUGAGGCCCUGGGUUCAAUCCCCAGCACUGCAA